AAGGAAAAGCAUUGGAUGUGAAGGGAGGUGGCGUGAAAAAGAAGAAGAAGCAUAACUAUGAAAUAGAUUCCAAGACUGAAAAUCAGGAACUUACAGAAGGUGGGAGUUCUGGAUUAUCAACUGAUCCAACUGAAGUCCUCACUGAAGCCGAGAAGGUUGGGUCUGAAGGACAAGCCCCAUCAGUCGAUGAUCACUUGACUCCAGCAGAAAGGUGAUAUAUUGAA